rnacentral:tRNA from 1 species
GGUGGCUCAGUGGUAGAGUGCUUGUCUUGCAAGCAUGAGGCCCUGGGUUCAAUUCCUCAGUACCA